rnacentral:rRNA from 1 species
UACAGAGGGUGCUAGCGUUGUUCGGAAUCAUUGGGGCGUAAAGGGCGUGUAGGCGGUUUGUUAAGUCAUGUGUGAAAUCCCUCGGCCUCAACCGGGGAACGACGCAUGAAACUGGCAAGCUAGAGUACCAAAGAGGGGGGUGGAAUUCCCGGUGUAGCGGUGAAAUCGUAGAGAUCGGGAGGAACAUCAGUUGCGGAAGGCGGCUCU